UACGUAUGGUGCAAGCGUUAUCCGGAUUUACUGGGUGUAAAGGGAGCGUAGGCGGCGCGUUAAGUCUGAUGUGAAAACCCGAGGCUCAACCACGGGAGUGCAUUGGAAACUAGCGGGCUGGAGUGCCGGAGAGGUAAGCGGAAUUCCUAGUGUAGCGGUGAAAUGCGUAGAUAUUAGGAGGAACACCAGUGGCGAAGGCGGCUUACUGGACGGCAACUGACGCUGAGGCUCGAAAGCGUGGGGAGCAAACAGG
rnacentral:rRNA from 1 species